CUUCGGGGACAUUGGUGACAGGUGGUGCAUGGUUGUCGUCAGCUCGUGUCGUGAGAUGUUGGGUUAAGUCCCGCAACGAGCGCAACCCUUGUCUUUAGUUGCCAUCAUUAAGUUGGGCACUCUAGAGAGACUGCCAGGGAUAACCUGGAGGAAGGUGGGGAUGACGUCAAAUCAUCAUGCCCCUUAUGCUUAGGGCUACACACGUGCUACAAUGGGUAGUACAGAGGGUUGCCAAGCCGUAAGGUGGAGCUAAUCCAUUAAAGCUACUCUCAGUUCGGAUUGUAGGCUGAAACAAGCCUACAUGAAGCUGGAGUUACUAGGAAUCGGAGAUCAGAAUGCUGCGGUGAAUGCGUUCCCGGGUCUUGUACACACAGCCCGUCACACCACGGGAGUUGGAGACGCCCGAAGCCGAUUAUCUAACCGUUUGGAAGGAGUCGUCGAAGGGGGAAUCAAUAACUGGGGUGAAGUCGUAACAAGGUAGCCAUAUCGGAAGGUGCGGCUGGAUCACCUCCUUUCUAAGGAGA
rnacentral:rRNA from 1 species